AUGAAGGUGGGGGACCCCAGGCACACCUCACCAGACUGCAUCCUCACCCCAUCUGAGCAAACUGCUGCCCACCCUCUCCGUCCCCGGAAUGAAAUCCCAAGACGAUGGAGGAGUGCCCGCCUCCUGACCUCACGACGUGAAGCGGCUGCUCGGCUAGGAACCGAAUUCCAGGGGGAUUCGAGGAGCCCUGCGCACAGGACUGCUAGGGUCGGGCCCCGGCUUGGCCACAGGAAAAUGAGGCACUCGGAGGUUUCUGUUCUCGGGGGUGGUGUGCUCCUCUUCCUUGCUAGCAGAGUUGCUGCUUUGCGGCGGGGGAGGUGCUUAGGGCUCCUGCGAGUCUCAGCCAGUCCCACAGUUCACCCCGGAUACAGGAACCACGGAAAAAAACAAAGGACACGGAGCUCCGGAACCCAAGCAGAGCCUCACAGAGUGGCGGACAAGAAGAUGGUGGGACUAUACCGUGGAUCCCCAAGAGAACGCAGGCGGGAGCCCAACACCGACGCCCAUCACAGAGGUCCCCCCUCUCCGCUAAGCCGCAGGGACUCGUCGCCAGGCAACGAAGACCUUCACUGUGACGCAAGCCAGGGCUCAGCACUCGCGCCAGGUGCCCGGCCACUGGCGCAUGCGCACUCGAGGGGCUGGCUCCGGCGCCAGGCUGGCAUGGUUGUCAGCCUGCCUAAGCAAGGAACAUGGUGCAGGCAGAGCCGGCCUGGGCUGAGGAAAUAGGCUGCCUCCGACCAUCAUUGCGGGCCGAGAAAAGUCUCCCCCAAAGGGCCUCCCGAGGCCGUCUCCGUGGUCGGCUCCCCCUGGUGGAGGAGGCGAUGGGAGACUGCGAGGAGGGCGCUGGAAAGGGCUCUUCGGACUUCAUUCCCGAAAACGGCUCUGUGCAGGAAUCGGAUCCCAGAGGGUUGGGAAUGGAGUCUGGUGAGUCGUUGAGGGCUCUCCGGCUGAUGGAUGAAUACCUGAGACCCCAGAGGAGGGUGUCAGCGGAAGAUUGCGGGACCCUUGAGCUCACUGCCUCCCUUCAUCCUGGGCUGUUUAGGGACUCCUGCUUCUCAGCACGGCAGUCGGAGAGAAGCGGGAACCGCGACCAAGGGAAGGACACGGUGGAGAAGGGGUCUCACCCCUGGAACUGGCAUCCCACGGGGGCACGUGAGUUGGAGAGAGGGUCUCAGAGGCCGUCUGCGGCGAUUGCAAGAUUGAAGUGGUUGUCCACCAGUGCUGUUGAGGGGCACUGUGGAUCCCCCGUGAGAGCAAGACAAAAGCAAGGCCCGCCUGGGAGAACGAGAAGGUUUGUGCUGGAGUCCAAGUCAAGUUCACGGAUUCUUGCCAGAGGAAUCAAGAGCCUCCAGCAGAGUGCAGACAAACCCGGGCCCUACAAAGAGACCACGACCCACGACCUGGACUGAAGUCAGCCCACUCCAAGAGCCUUGUGCCCCCUGAAGUUCCUGGCAGCCCAAAGAUCCGAGGCGAGAGGCCGUUCCACCCAGCAACAGCCCCUCCACGAGGACAAUGGACGUGCAGAUGAAAUGAACCUAGAUGACCAGGCAAAAGCCAGACACGGUUGCCCGCUUCUCAUCCUACGGGAAUCACGCAGCACUCUGAGAGAACUGGGAGGACCAGAGUCUCCUUGUGGGCAGAUGUCGCCGGAAUUCACUCUUCCAAAAGGAUCACAGCAGCCGAGUCCUUGCACCCUGACGGCGUUUAGAAGGAAACACGCGUACAACGGUCCCCAUGACGGUCGUCCUCCGUGAACAGGGAAACGUUGACUGUGGAAGUCUUGGAGCCAGACCCAGGAAACCCUAGGCCCACGAGAAACGUGGGAGUCAGGAAAAGAGGAGGCCCCUAUGCAGGCCCCAUCCCAGCCAGCCUCAGUGCAUCUCACUCCCACGUGUUUCCCGGAAUGACAGCCGAAAUCGAAAGCUAGCCAGAAUGGCCUGGGAUUGUGCUCCAACUGAUCCCCCAGCACGUUGGAGUCCUCCCACAUGGGCACCGGGCCAGGGUGCGGACCGCUAGUGCCACCAAGGGAACGCGGGGGUGGAGUCGGAAGUACCUUCCGUAUUCAUC
rnacentral:lncRNA from 1 species